AGCAACUGUUUACCAAAAACAUGUCUCCACAAACUCGUAAGACUGUGUUUGGGGCUACACAUGUCCAAUGCCAAAAAGUCAAAGAAGGUGGUGACCUAAAGACAGAGGAGUCAACGAGCAUAGUCCCAAUGAAUGGUGCUCAUAAUUAUAAUGGUUCUAAGGUAGCAACAUUUCUUGUCAGGUAAGUUUCGACCUAUAUGAAAGGCACAAUAAUU
rnacentral:rRNA from 1 species